rfam:Schistosoma rodhaini strain Burundi genome assembly, scaffold: SROB_scaffold0002006
GACCUACUGUGGAGUCCCACAAUAGGACGAAACGGCCGUACAGCGC